GCUUUUAAAGGAUUACAGUUCAUCCGUUGGUCUUAGGAACCAAAAACUCUUGGUGCAAAUCCAAGUAAAAGCU
rnacentral:tRNA from 1 species